rnacentral:rRNA from 1 species
UCCGUAGGUGGACGGUUAAGUCAGAGGUGAAAUCCUGCAGCUCAACUGUAGAAUUGCCUUUGAUACUGGUCGUCUUGAGUCGUUGUGAAGUGGUUAGAAUAUGUAGUGUAGCGGUGAAAUGCAUAGAUAUUACAUAGAAUACCGAUUGCGAAGGCAGAUCACUAACAACGUACUGACACUGAUGGACGAAAGCGUGGGGAGCGAACAGGAUUAGAUACCCUGGUAGUCC